GGCCCAAAUCCUACGGGAGGCUGCAGUAGGGAAUCUUCCACAAUGGGCGAAAGCCUGAUGGAGCAACGCCGCGUGUGUGAUGAAGGCUUUCGGGUCGUAAAGCACUGUUGUAUGGGAAGAAAAGUUAAGGUAGGGAAUGACCUUAGCCUGACGGUACCAUACCAGAAAGGGACGGCUAAAUACGUGCCAGCAGCCGCGGUAAUACGUAUGUCCCGAGCGUUAUCCGGAUUUAUUGGGCGUAAAGCGAGCGCAGACGGUUGGUUAAGUCUGAUGUGAAAGCCCGGAGCUCAACUCCGGAAAGGCAUUGGAAACUGGUUAACUUGAGUGCAGUAGAGGUAAGUGGAACUCCAUGUGUAGCGGUGGAAUGCGUAGAUAUAUGGAAGAACACCAGCGGCGAAGGCGGCUUACUGGACUGUAACUGACGUUGAGGCUCGAAAGUGUGGGUAGCAAACAGGAUUAGAUACCCUGGUAGUCCACACCGUAAACGAUGAACACUAGGUGUUAGGAGGUUUCCGCCUCUUAGUGCCGAAGCUAACGCAUUAAGUGUUCCGCCUGGGGAGUACGACCGCAAGGUUGAAACUCAAAGGAAUUGACGGGGACCCGCACAAGCGGUGGAGCAUGUGGUUUAAUUCGAAGCAACGCGAAGAACCUUACCAGGUCUUGACAUCCUUUGAAGCUUUUAGAAAUAGAAGUGUUCUCUUCGGAGACAAAGUGACAGGUGGUGCAUGGUCGUCGUCAGCUCGUGUCGUGAGAUGUUGGGUUAAGUCCCGCAACGAGCGCAACCCUUAUUGUUAGUUGCCAGCAUUCAGAUGGGCACUCUAGCGAGACUGCCGGUGACAAACCGGAGGAAGGCGGGGACGACGUCAGAUCAUCAUGCCCCUUAUGACCUGGGCUACACACGUGCUACAAUGGCGUAUACAACGAGUUGCCAACCUGCGAAGGUGAGCUAAUCUCUUAAAGUACGUCUCAGUUCGGACUGCAGUCUGCAACUCGACUGCACGAAGUCGGAAUCGCUAGUAAUCGCGGAUCAGCACGCCGCGGUGAAUACGUUCCCGGGUCUUGUACACACCGCCCGUCACACCAUGGAAGUUUGUAAUGCCCAAAGCCGGUGGCCUAACCGUAAGGAGGAACCGUCUAAGGC
rnacentral:rRNA from 1 species